rnacentral:lncRNA from 1 species
GAGACAACAUAGAAACAUAGAAAGAAGACAACAUAGAAAGAAGAGAAACAAAACGGUGGGAGAAGAUUUUUUUUUCUGCUCAGAAGAGGGAAGAAUAUUCUUCCAGGCUGGAUGUGUUUUCUCAGCCUCUUCAAGAAUACGGGUUAUGAU